UCUUUUUCUAUACAGAUUUUUGUGUGUUUCAUUCAUGUAUUGGUAGAAUAAAGUGAAAGUAGAUAUCAUUUUGAUGUUUGAAAUUUGAUAAAUGACUCUUUGGUGCUCCUGUAAUCUGGGUCUGUGUCAAUGGAGCUGUUGAGUAGGUUGAUGAGAAUGUCGACUGUAUAUUUAUUUAUUGGCUAGGGUUUCUCUUACCACAUGUGGUUUAUUUUAGUGCCACUACUUGAUUCUAAGGAAAUUCUUGCUUCUUUAUUAGUCGUCUAGGAGCUUAUGGGAGGGGCCCAUCUUUAUUUUCAUAGUUCUUAUACUUCUAUACUUCUAAAAAAAUAUGAUUGUUGCUUCAAAAAUUCUCGUUUUGAAUAAUAUUUUAAGAAGUUUGUCAUGUUGAAGUCAUGGACGAUAAAAAUGAAAUAAAAAGACCAAGGUUAAGUUACAAAUUAAAAUUUUAGAUUUGAGGUUCGUGUAUUUGGGAUUCCUAACUUUUUAAGAAACUAUGAAUUUAAUCCUAAACUUAGAAUUCUAUGAAAUUAGAUACAAAAAUCAAAAGUUUAUGAUUGGUUGUACUAAAAAAGAUUUUAAAUUUUACUUCAGGAACAAAGUAGAUACAAACAUAAAAGAUUCAGCAAUUAAAUUUGUAAUUCAACCAAAGUCCAAAUGAGUACCAAAAAUGAAUCUUCCACAAGUAUUAUACAAAGAAAAAAAGAACUAAAAAUUAGGGAAUAAAAAUAUAUGUUUGAGGUCAAAGUAGGGUUCAAACCUAAUUCUGUCCUUUUUGUUUAAUACUUUCUAUAUAUGGGGAUUGAUUGUCGGUUAUAGCAUGAGCUGCUACUAAUCUUGCUUAAGCUCUGUCCUAACAGCUUGGCUUGUAAGAUGAAGAAGAAAGAAGGGGAUAAACCUUGUGAGCAGUUCUAUAAGCAUACUUGACAGCUUUUAUCAUCAAAACACAGCAUGAUCAAGGAAGCAAGAACAUAGUAAUUUCCAAACAAAACAUGAUUCAAGAACAUAAGUCUAGAAGAGGAAUAGCAAGACAAUCGUUACCAGGGUCGCUCGGCAUAGGUGUUACAAAAUGGCACGUAGUAACGUGUUCACGAUGCUUUGCGACUCCUGGUAUAAAUGAUGAUGUCAAAGCAGUCUAUUCCUGGUUAUGGAAACU